GGUUGUGCUGUGAAGAGAGAUGGAGUUUGUUAGCUGUGCUGUGAAGCAGAAGUCAGUGCUAUGAGGAGCAGCACAUGAGAAUUCACUGAGAAGGUGGCCUGGAGCAGACAUCCAGUGUAAGGUCACCCAGACUGGGCUGCCCUUUAAUGCUCUCAGUGGCCUCCGUGCAUUCCAAAUGUUCUGUCACAUAAAGGACAUCUCCACUGCCUCAUCUUCAUGGCUUGUCCUUUGUAAAGAGCCUGUUUCCAUCUGUUUUGACACUGUAUGAAACACCAUACCAUGUCUCCAUGAGCAUAGCAACAUCAAGGUCCUGCAACUACACACAGAGCUCUUAAUUCCUCAUGUUCAUUCCCAAUUCAACAGAAUUUAGGAACCAACUUCCCCCUGUGAACAGCUAAGUCAACAAGAAGGAGCUCGUGCUUUGGAACCCUUCAGCUGGUGGGUGUAUGUAGCUACCAAGGUGGAAUUUUCCUGACAGAAGCAAAAUUAUUUAAGGUCACUGAAGUUUUGUUGCAUCUCAUAUACAAUCAGCAAAUGGAA